rnacentral:tRNA from 1 species
GGCGGUGUAGUAUAAUGGGUAAGGGGUUGGUCUUGUAAUCUAACGGUCGCAGGUUCAAUUCCCGUUAGGACAUUGCCG